rnacentral:tRNA from 1 species
UGUGUGUGUGUGUAAUCGGUAACAUACUUAGCCGUGUUAACAAAGGGAUGUGGGUUCGAGUCCCAUACGUACGA